rnacentral:rRNA from 1 species
GACGAACGCUGGCGGCGUGCUUAACACAUGCAAGUCGAACGGAAAGGCCCUGCUUGCAGGGUGCUCGCGUGGCGAACGGGUGAGUAACACGUGGGUGAUCUGCCCCUUACUUUGGGAUAAGCCUGGGAAACUGGGUCUAAUACUGGAUAGGACCAUGCUGUAGGCGGUGUGGUGGAAAGAUUAGUUUCGGUAAGGGAUGAGCUCGCGGCCUAUCAGCUGGUUGGUGGGGUAAUGGCCUACCAAGGCGUCGACGGGUAGCCGGCCUGAGAGGGUGGACGGCCACAUUGGGACUGAGAUACGGCCCAGACUCCUACGGGAGGCAGCAGUGGGGAAUAUUGCACAAUGGGCGCAAGCCUGAUGCAGCGACGCUGCGUGGGGGAUGACGGCCUUCGGGUUGUAAACUCCUUUCAGCCAUGACGAAGCCCUUGUGGUGACGGUAGUGGUAGAAGAAGCACCGGCUAACUACGUG